rnacentral:rRNA from 1 species
GAUGAACGCUAGCGGCAGGCCUAAUACAUGCAAGUCGAGGGAGAAUGUUGGAUUCGUCUGACAUGAAACCGGCGCACGGGUGCGUAACACGUAUGCAACCUACCUUUAACUGGGGUAUAGCUCAGAGAAAUCUGAAUUAAUCCCCCAUAAGACUACGACAUGGCAUCAUGAUGUAGUUAAAGCUCCGGCGGUUAAGGAUGGGCAUGCGGUACAUUAGCUAGUUGGUGAGGUAAUGGCUCACCAAGGCUACGAUGUAUAGGGGGUCUGAGAGGAUGAUCCCCCACACUGGUACUGAGAAACGGACCAGACUCCUACGGGAGGCAGCAGUAGGGAAUAUUGGUCAAUGGACGCAAGUCUGAACCAGCCAUGCCGCGUGAAGGAUGAAGGCCCUAUGGGUCGUAAACUUCUUUUAUUAGGGAAGAAAAAACGGGAUGCGUCCUGUACUGGCGGUACUUAAUGAAUAAGGAUCGGCUAACUUCGUGCCAGCCGCCGCGGUAA